AAACUCUCCAUCGAAUCCUUCAGCUUCUUCCUCAACCCGUUGACCACAGAAGUCCUGGUCCGAUCCGACGAAGACCCAGGUCCACACCCUGGCAGACUCCGAUUGGCAGCGUUGGAACGGUCCAGAGCCUCCAGUCGAACCUUGAUGAGUUUAGCUUUCUUCAACGCUUGAGCGACAUCGGCGUCCAUCUUCGACCGCAAAUCCCUGACGGCCUUAGCGUUGUGUAGAGUCUUACUCUGCUCAUGAGCGGAUUGGAGGCUCUCAUUGAGCCUUUCCAAUUCCUUCAACUCGUCUUUAACAGACUCAACAUCCUCAAAGAACUUAUCAAGAUUGACACCGCCUGUUGACGGCGUCUCCGACAUCUGAAUUACAUGGUGAUCCGGGGAGGCUUCCUCACUGCGGAAGCGAGAGAAAGACCCAGAAAAUAAAUCAUUCAUCUUUUCUUUUAACAGAUUGUUAGUUUCCUUCCUCAGUUCUGUUUUUUUCCUAAUAUAGCUUUCAAGAAACAGAAGGAGAUUAUAAGGGGUAGAGAAUGGAUGAAAAUUUCUUAAAGGAGGAGGAUGAAGAGGAAGGUGAGACUGGUCAAAUGGGUUGCCAGCUUCAACUACCGUGUGGUUUUCAAGAGAGGGAAGAGAUUGGAUAAGUCAAUUUAGUGCAAAGUAAGGAAUGAGAUCUUCUCUUAUAAAUUUCUCGGAAAAUCAAGGAGGAAACAUCUGGGAAAGUGGAGGAUCUUUCAAGUCUUUGAACCGA
rnacentral:misc_RNA from 1 species